rnacentral:misc_RNA from 1 species
UGUUGAUGUUGUUGUAGCACCUCCCUUUCCUUACAUUGAUCAGGUGAAGGCUUCAUUAACAGAUAGAAUUGAGAUAUCUGCUCAAAACUCUUGGGUUGGUAAAGGUGGGGCAUUCACAGGAGAAAUCAGUGUGGAACAACUGAAAGAUAUUGGCUGCAAAUGGGUAAUUCUUGGGCAUUCUGAGCGAAGGCAUAUAAUUGGUGAAAACAAUGAGUUUAUAGGAAAGAAGGCAGCUUAUGCCUUGAGCCAGG